rnacentral:rRNA from 1 species
UACGUAGGGGGCAAGCGUUGCCCGGAUUUAUUGGGCGUAAAGAGCGUGUAGGCGGCCAGGUAGGUCCGUUGUGAAAACUCGAGGCUCAACCUCGAGACGUCGGCGGAAACCCUCUGGCUAGAGUCCGGAAGAGGAGAGUGGAAUUCCGUGGUGUAGCGGUGAAAGUGCGCAGAGUAUCAGGAAGAACACCCGUGGCGAAGGCGGCUCUCUGGGACGGUACUGACGCUGAGGCGCGAAAGCGUGGGGAGCGAUCCGG